CUUUUUUUUUUUUUGGGGGGGGGGGGGGGGGAAGAGUUUGGCACUGAAGGUCUUUUUUUCUCCCGGAGCCUCUCUUUCUGGAAUGGGGACGCGCCUGAGGUUUCCACUAAGAACCGGGUGAUCAGUGUUGUGGAUUAGCCUUCCGAAGAAAUGGAAUCUGCUAUAGCGGAGACCGCAAGUGGGUUUCCCAGGGCAGGAAGUGACAGCAAGGAAGAGGGGCAGAACAGCCCUGCCGACCCACCUCCUGCUCCAGAUACCUCUGUGUCAUUUUCAGAAAUGCUUCACCUGAUCCAGACUGGACAGGACAUCCCUGGACUCCAGAAGUUAAAUAUCUCUGCCACGAAUGGGAGUCCAACACCAUCACAGAUGACUCAGAAACCCAAGCCUUGGGAGACAAAAGCUUGACCAAGUGGUGGAGUUGGAAACUUGAAUGAGAGAUUUAGCACUCUAUUGGAUAUUAAAUAAAUAUCUUGGCCUUUCAGUUCUAAAAUGAUUGAGGGUACUGUUAAAAAUAACAGUUUGUUUCAGUGAAAGCCAAUAUCCAAAGAUGAUUUCUGUGUUGUUAUAUAUUCAUACCUGCAUGUGUGUCUUUCACAUUCUUUUGCUAGAUAUAGGUGAGGCAAGGAACUUAAAAGUUUCUACUCUUAACUGGGCUCAAAUUUCUCACUUAUCAUAAGGUGGUUUGUUUAGUUUUGGCUUAAUGUGGUGUGUGAAGUAAAAUGAAUCACAUAUUUCACAGACCGUGGCUUAUGAAAAUAAUUGAAAUACAUAGAAUUAAACAUAACUGUAAAUAUUUGGGUUUUAGUUUGGUCUCAAAAUACAAGA